AUUGAACGCUGGCGGCAGGCCUAACACAUGCAAGUCGAGCGAGAAAGGUCUUCGGACUGAGUACAGCGGCGGACGGGUGAGUAACGCGUAGGAAUCUACCUGGUAGUGGGGGACAACAUGGGGAAACUCAUGCUAAUACCGCAUACGCCCUAUGGGGGAAAGCGGGGGACCUUCGGGCCUCGCGCUAUCAGAUGAGCCUGCGUAGGAUUAGCUUGUUGGUGAGGUAAAGGCUCACCAAGGCGACGAUCCUUAGCUGGUCUGAGAGGAUGAUCAGCCACACUGGGACUGAGACACGGCCCAGACUCCUACGGGAGGCAGCAGUGGGGAAUAUUGCGCAAUGGGCGAAAGCCUGACGCAGCCAUGCCGCGUGUGUGAAGAAGGCCUUAGGGUUGUAAAGCACUUUCAAUUGGGAAGAAAGGUUGCGUGUUAAUAGCACGUAGCUGUGACGUUACCUUUAGAAGAAGCACCGGCUAACUCCGUGCCAGCAGCCGCGGUAAUACGGAGGGUGCGGGCGUUAAUCGGAAUUACUGGGCGUAAAGCGCGCGUAGGCGGUUUGUUAAGUCGGAUGUGAAAGCCCCGGGCUCAACCUGGGAAUUGCCUUCGAUACUGGCCGACUAGAGUACGAGAGAGGGAGGUAGAAUUCCACGUGUAGCGGUGAAAUGCGUAGAUAUGUGGAGGAAUACCGGUGGCGAAGGCGGCCUCCUGGCUCGAUACUGACGCUGAGGUGCGAAAGCGUGGGUAGCAAACAGGAUUAGAUACCCUGGUAGUCCACGCCGUAAACGAUGUCUACUAGCCGUUGGGAGACUUGAUUUCUUAGUGGCGCAGCUAACGCACUAAGUAGACCGCCUGGGGAGUACGGCCCGCAGGUUA
rnacentral:rRNA from 1 species